rnacentral:rRNA from 1 species
AUGCCAGCAGAUCUCAGCAGGUGGGUGCUACAAAGGUACCACCCAGACAGUGAGUCUAUAGUUGUCCUAGGAAGGGGCGAGAUCCCCGUACCAGCCUAAAGUGUCCACCACACUUUGGGUCUACGCAACUCAGGAGAUGAAGUGUUUUACGGGUGGGAUGCGGAAGCGAUAUCAUUCAUAAACAGCAGGUACGGGUUCAAGAAUGGAAGCGCAACCAAGAUAGUAACUUUCUGCAAGAUGAUUGAAAGACAUGAAAGGAAGAGCAGUGACGAUUUCAUGCACGCCUGGCUAAUUGUGGUAGUUAGUUCUUUCAUGUGCCCUGCAAUGAGCCUUCACGUCAGCCCUGGAUGCUAUCCAAUAGUCGCCGAACUGGAGAAAGUGAAGAGGAAGAAGAAGGCCGUAAAUUGUUGCGUGCACCAUAUGGUGGUAGGUACCUUUUUUUCGGUUUAUUUUUUUCCCUUUUAUAGUACAACAACAGAGAGGCUAACCACUCACAAAUGCGCUGCAAAAAAUGUGUCGUAUGUAGAUUCUUUGGUGGUCGACAUUCAAGUACCAGAUUGUCCAGUCUGGGCAGAAGCAUGGGACAACAAGCGUAUAGGGCAAGUUGCAAGAGCAGACAAAAAAGAGGGGGGAUAA